AACGUAGGGGGCCAGCGUUGCUCGGAAUUACUGGGCGUAAAGGGUCUGUAGGCGGUGCGGCAAGUCGGAAGUGAAAUCGCAGGGCUUAACUCUGCGGCUGCUUCCGAAACUGCCGUACUCGAGUGUGAGAUAGGCGAGUGGAAUUGCAGGUGUAGCGGUGAAAUGCGUAGAUAUCGGGAGGAACACCUGUGGCGAAAGCGGCGCACUGGACCACAACUGACGCUGAGGCGCGAAAGCUAGGGGAGCAAACAGG
rnacentral:rRNA from 1 species